GCCAAUGUCAAUGAAUAGUAUUGUCAAGAGGAGCCUGGGCGAGGCGAAAUCUAGGCACCGGAAGCCCCCAGGCAAGGCGCCUUCAACUAGGCGCUGCCUAGGUGAGGCCCAAGCGAGGCGUCACCAGGCUCUCCCAAGGAGAGAAAAAGGCAAGAAACUAAAAAAAAAAAGAAAAGAAAAGUUGGGAAAGAGAAAAGCUGACUUGAUUUGUUUUCACCUUUCGGCAUCCAC
rnacentral:misc_RNA from 1 species